UGUCAGUCUGGCAGAUAACGGCGCAGUGCUUGCGGUGGGGAGUGAGUGACCAGCGUGCGCAGGGUAGCGGGCCUCCAAGUUCUAGGCCAAGUCUCUGAGAGCGAAACCGUCUGUGACCUGAGCCGACUUCCCCUCUGCUGCCGCUGUUCUGAGCGGCCUCUUCACGCUGUCGAGUAAAAGUACAAUUCUGUCUUAGUGAAGACAUUCUGAAUGUUACGGGACCGAGCCCCGCGGCCUGGCAGCCUGGUCAGUGCCCAGCGGGAACCACCUUCCCGCACCCUCUCGUCCCGAGGCCCCUUUAACCCGAAAGCUGCUCUCUUCGUACCCCAGGGACGGGCUUCGGGCGUGCAGAUGCGCCAAGGGCCUGGCCAGCUUGAGUCAGGCCCUCUGGCGCUUUCCUGUAGGAUCUAGAAAUGUCCCCGAAUUCUAGGGUAGGCAUCAACCAGACCAGCUUGGUUAUGUUUUUGUUGGUUCCUAUCCUGUCCACUCCCCGCCGUGGAUCCCAACGCAAAUGCUAAUCCAGCCCCAAAGUUAUAAUUUACACAGAAGCACACUCUUUCACAACCUGAACACACUCCUGUAACCAGCACAUAGAUCAGGAAACAGAACAGUACCUGCACCUCAGAAUACCCCCUCAUGCUUGGGCCUGGUCCACUCCGCCUGACCUACCUAGGAUGGCCACGACCACGUCGUCGCGCAGGAUCUCGAUGGAGCCUCGGGAGAUGAAG